GGCUGAAAUUCGCCUUCAUGAAGCUGGAAUUGCUAGUAAUGGCAGGUCAGCAUACUGCCGUGAAUACGUUCCCGGGCCUUGUACACACCGCCCGUCACACCAUGAGAGUUGGGAAUACCCGAAGCCUGUGAGCCAACUUUUAAAGAGGCAACAGUCGAAGGUAGAAUCAAUGAUUGGGGUGAAGUCGUAACAAGGUACC
rnacentral:rRNA from 1 species